rnacentral:lncRNA from 1 species
GCCAUUGGUAGCCCUAAUAUUUUGAUUUUCAUAUUAAGAACAAUGUUGGUGCUCUCUAUUUGACGACUUCAUCAUCUUCUUCAAGAAAAUAAGGUAGGAAUUCAUCUUUUUAUCUUUUAAUUUCCCGUAGAAACGUUAAUUUAAAGUUUUUUAUGGUUUAAUUUCUUCUCAAUUUUGUGAUUAGUUUUUGAUUGAAAAAUAUCAAAUACGAUGUUCAAUCGUAUUUGUUAUGAUGAGAAUGAUCCGAUGUUGCGAGUGAAACUGCGAUGCAAACAUGGUGACUUACUAUCAAUGCAAACUUCAUGGUCGAAGCAUAAAUCUAGCUCGAAGAUUUUGAUCUUGUCCACGGUAUCGUGUAUGUUUACUAAUUCUUUUAUGGAGAUAUUUUGUUUAUGUAUUUUUCUUUAAUUUGUGGGUUAAAGUAUUCAUCACUCCCCUGAACUUGAAGCUUUUUAUUUGGUGUACACUUAAACUAUAUUCUGUUUUAAUUACCCUCUCAAACUUGUUUAUUCCACUAUCGCGUACACCUUUUUGUCUGUUGUUCCUAGUGUGACUACACACGCGCAUCAGCUGGCAAAAAUAGUGAUGAUGUGGAUUUCCACCUAGAUAAAUAAUAGCCACCUAGAUAAAUUAAAAUGACAAAAAAUAAAUAUCAUACUCCAACUCCUUUUCCGGUCGACGUCAAUCUCCACCACCAACCACUGUAUCUCCUCUUCUCAUCUCUCUUUCCGAUGCAAAAUCAAUUCUUCACUCUAACUUUCUUUCCGCCGCAAAAAAAACACGGUUUCUUCCAGCUCACAUAACACUCCAUCUCCUCUCACCUUGCUCAAUCAGCUGAAUCGGAAUUCUUAUUCAUUUUAACGAUGAGAAACAACUCUGCUACCCGAAGAACUGGCCGUUGGGCUUCAAUAAUGAUGACGAUGACGACGGUGAUGUCGUCUGCGGCCGGUCAAUAUUAAGAAAAUAGAGAUUUUACUUUUUUUUUUUUUACUGUUGUAGCUUUAUGAAGUGACAAAAUAUCACACCCCUCACGUGCCUAGUAGAGUGUGAUUUCAAUUUCUACGCCAGGUGGACAGAAAAGGUGCACGCAUUGGAUGAAUAAACACGUUCGGGAGGGUAAUUCAAACAAAAUGAAAUUUACGUGUACACCGAACCGGCAAACUAUUAUGUUCAUCAAUUAAAGUAUCUAGUAUCUUAUAAAAGUUUUUGUCGCAUACCAUGUGAUAUAGUUGUUGUCUUAUGAAAGUAUCUAGUAUCUUAUAAAAGUUUUAUCGUAAUAUAAAAUAUCAAACAUUUUUAUACAAAAUUAUUUUAUGAUCAAUCACUAUUUUUUCAAAUCUAUUUUUAUAUGUAUGUUGUGACAUAAUAUUUUCUUAAAUUAAGAUGAACACAACAUAACUGAUAAUUCAUACUUAAAAGAAUUCAUAGUCAAUAUAAAUCUAAAAAAGAAAAAAAAUAUGAAACAAUACAUAGCCAAUAAAGAAGGAAGACGAAAAUACACACGAAACAGUGAGACCAGUUCAUGCAAAUAACUACAAAAUAAAAAGAAGAACAGGGGCAAACAUUGGGUGAAAGAAGAAAGGGAACGAUGUUUGGAACUCAAAAAAGUAUUAUACCACAAACAUGAAUUCACCAAAAAACUAAAAAAGUGUUCUUCAUGACAUCUCUCAGGUUAGCCAAAAAGGAGCAAUCAAGGAAUGAUGAUUUCUGAGGGUUGUCCCAUCAAGAACUUUAAGCAAUCCCUGUAGCAUCAAACAACAAAACUAAACUUUGUAAGUUUCUCAAAAUGAGUUAAAAGUUAUCUAUGUAAUGUGAAAAUUCAACAUUUAAGAUGUAUGCAGAAGGUAGAAAUCCUACAAGAAAGCAUGUUUUUCUUUACUAUUAGCAUCUACAGUCUACACUAACAGCAAUAUUUGAACUACUAAAACAAAAAACCCUGUGUUGUUACGAAUAGAAAUACUAUGCAGCUCUAGCGAACACUCUUUCCAUAUUAUCGACAAAGUAAUACUAAAGGAGCUACUUCCGCGCUCUCAUUCUCUUCCUAGCCGUGCUUGAUAUCAUUCACACACACUCCACACUGUAUACAGAUGCCAACAUUAUGACCAGUCCAUUCAUAGUUCAAAGAUUGAAAGACAAAUUAACAAAGGAGGAAAUUACCAAUUGAAUAAAGGCAACAAAUGUUCUAAUACUUUCAUCAGUAAUAAGAGGGGAGGGGGAAACAAUUGUCUCAUAGAAGAUAAGUAAACCAGUUCAGGAGUCGAUUUUCUAAGUUUCCCUUGCUAAAAGUUAUCAUAGCUCGACAGGAUCGAUAUGGUAUUACUAUUUUCUUGUGACAAGAAUGACAUAAUCCAGGUUGCGUACAUUCUUCUGUUUUCGAGAAUGACAAAUGACAAAAGAAAAAAAAUGAAAUGAACAAAGGUCCAUAUAUGUCAAAAAUUCCAUAUGUUCUUCUGUUAGUAUUUCACACGUAUCAUUAUUGAUUCAAAGUUCAGCUUAAAAGCGCCAAGACCAGGGGAAUACAGUUCUGAGUAUGUGUUCAUCCUUUUUAUUAAAUUUCAAAGACUCUUCCGCAAGAUCAAUAGAAUUGGACCAAUGUUUUCUUAAAUAGUGCUAUUGGCUAAGCCAGCAUGUGUCUCGACUAGUUCACAAAUCAGUUUGUUACAACCACAAGUCCAUUUGUUGGGGACCUUUGCACCAAUGCUAUUAUGGAAGUACGAAUACCUAGGAUACAUGUUAACUUCUCAACGGAUUCUCUAUCUUCUCUUCUUCUUCUUUUUGUCAUUUCAAUUAAUUUGUCUAUGUUAUAGGAUAAUACGAUGGUUAGAAAUACACAAGCAUCUCAACCAGUUGAACAGAAUUAACUAAAGUAAUCAGUAGACUUAGUUCAGACAGUAAUUAACACAUCAGAAUUAAUGUGCUAAGUCCCUCGAGUGCCUGUAUAACACGUACACGUGCACAUGAGAUAAGAAAACUUCUGAAGCAAUGACAACAUCUAAAAGUGGGAGCUGAGAACCUACACAUAGCAAGUAAAUAUAUGUAUAUGUAGUCGCAUAAACGGAUUAUAAUGAUAAAUUGAUCAUCAAACCUUGUGACUUUUUUGCGCGCUAAUUUAUCUUGAGCAUCUUGCUUCUUAACAGGUAGCAUCCCUCCGAUCAGAAAUAGGCUCUCUGAAUAAUCAACAACCACAUAUGAUUCAU